AAGUGUUACACCGGUACAGAUAUUAUCUGUAUUAUCAGAUCUUGCUUCCACGUCAUUCACGCUGUCUUACACGGAGUGUCUCGAGAAGGUUAAGGGACGCCAAGAGUCACGAGGCCAGGAAUUCUUUGACGGCUUUACAUUCGUAUUCUGAUACAACCAAAGGAUUUAACCAACGUCGACCUUCCUUCUAUAAAUAAUCAUAAAGGGCUCUGUACUUCUGAAGGUAAUACGAUAAGCACGUAUAUUAUUGUCAUUACUGUUCGACAUUUAUCUUUAAUUAUUAAUUUUUCAUCAAUCAAUUAUUCUCGCUACGAAAUACAUAAAAUUCACUUUCUUUCUUCGCGCACUUAUAUCGUAACUUUUAUUAUGCACAGAAAAACUUCUCGCCAGUCAAUCAGCCGUCUCCAUGGCCAAACUGACAUUUCGAGACUCUUCGGCACGUUGAAGAUCACGAUGCACGCCUUUUCAAGAUAAAAAUUCCUCGACCUCUGACCUCAUCGAAUUUCAAAAGAGAUACGUCAAUCGCAAAUCUAUUUAGAAAAUGUCAAAUCGUACUUCCUUCUGACAUUGUGGGUAAUAGCGCGGUUCGGGUCGAUUCCGAUCGAAUCACGCUUCACGCGUCACGCUUCACGGUCCAGCGCGAGUCUGAAACUGCCUACUGGCUUCGGACUUACAGCCUACGAGAGCACCAGGCCACCAGGCUCUCCAGCAACUUCAGCUUCGACCGAUCAAAUGCUUCCUUCUUCUUUUUCUUGGGUGGUACCAUUUUAUGCAUGGAUUGGUUGGUGAAAAUUGAAGAGGAAGGAGAGAAGACAGUAAUUUAUCAAGAUUGUUCAAUGAGAAUGUACAGGGGAAUUACGAUAAUUGGAAAUUGCCGUGUCGUACAUGCUGCCUCCUUUCUACGUAUACGGAGUGCGUGGUGAAUGUCAACGGUUUUCUUUUUCUCAUGAGGAUCAAAGAGAAGAAGAUCUCCUUGCCAGGUUCCUGUGGAUCUUGAGGAGUUAAGAGGACCCGUGGAACCAAACAAAGAGUUCCUCCGAGAUGUCCAAUACGUUCUCUUUAUUUUUCGUACCUUUUUUGAGUAAUCGAACAUUUCGUGGAUCAGUGCCCGACCAACGAGGCAUUUAAUGCGAUUGUCAGUAAGAAAAGGAUGGAAAAAAAGUAGGAAGGUGUCUGUUGGUCCAUUAAACGGCGCUGCUGAGAUGCUGGGGGAAAGGACCAAAAAGUCAUCAACGGUAAUGACCUCCUCGACCAUAUUUGCCACGGACAGUGUAAGCCCAUGGGUCCCAGGCUAACAUGCAAAUUAAUGAGCGCUUGCAGCUAUCGCGAUUUAUUUUCCUCUCUUGGCAACCACGAUAAAAAGAGGCAACGGAAUUCACCGUGAAAAAUGAACCGUUCACUCUUAAGAAUCUUCCUUUGUCCAAAGAAAGUGCCUCAUUGUCAGUCCGAUGAAUAUCGAGUUAUCGUUCCUGAACUUGCUAGGCGGAAGACACCUUUUUCUUGAAAGGUCUUGCUUUUUCCUGGUCAUGAAUCCUUGCCAGUGAAUGACUCCUUAAAGUCUCUAGUAGUACUCACAACCGAGUGUAGCCAGACGCACUCUCAUCUUGAGGUAAAAAUUAAAGAUCUUGCUGCUCUUGGUUACAAUUAGUCUGAGAUGCUUGGAAGCAGUUUCAUGGAUAAUCGCCCAAUUAUCCUCGCUUGGUGAUAUCCUAAUGAUGGAUCAGGAUGAUUUUUAUUCUCUCUUCUUGAAUGACCUUGUGCCAUAACCUUCGUUAAAGGACAAAGCUACAAAUGUUCCCAUCGAGCUCACCGAUCAUUCCUCCAGUACGAUUACUUUCUGGGAAUACCGUGUAUGUGGUUCUUACGAUAUAAAGAAUUAAUUCAAUAAAUCUUUCAAAUUUCGCAUGCAAUAUCUACAUUUUGAGUUGGUGACCGUUAGCUUCUUUGUCGCUGUUGAAACCUCUAGAAAGAAGGCGUCAAAUAAUUCAAUUGAUUUCACAAUCAGAACCACAGUAUAAAUUCACAACUGGACUGGUCCAUUCUUUUUUUAGAUCUCAUCCUCACCGUCGUACCUUUUGAUUUAUUAUUAUAGUCAGUCGUAACUAUAAAAUGUUUGAUUUCAAUUUAGACACUCGUUGUAGAGGACUGCCCUUCGUGGAGAAGUGCGUGUGCCGAGUUGCUGAAAUGUGGGCGCCAUACCUAAAUAUGUACAGAGUACCUGGUGCGUAGGUCCUCGGGUAAUGAAUCAGAGAGCGGACUUUCUUAAAAAUUUAAAAAUCUCAAGAAUUGAUAUUGCUCCAAAUUAAUUAAAAAUAAUUAAUCUAAUUUAUACGUAAUAAAUAUCCUUACGUGAACUAUUAAUUGAUAGAAAUCUCGAUGAAGCAUUUUUUAUAUUUAACAAAUAUUCUUCAACACGGUUUCCUUCACUUUGUUUCUUUCUUUCUUUAUUACUAUUCCCUUCAGUAUUUUGCCCGCGUCAUCGCUCCAAGGAUACAACUAACAUACGUAAACAUAUAUCGUACAUACCGUCUGUUCUAUCGAAGUGGCUGAUAAAAGUAAAGGGUCCUUUGUCAGUAGCAGUUCAGAUUUACUUUUAUGUAAAAACUUUUAUAUUCCGUAAAUACAAAAAACGCAUUUGCUAAUAUUCCUUAUUCCAUAUGCGUAAUUCACUUGAUAUCUAGAUUCCACGUGGUAAACAUUGAAAAUGACAAUGGGCGAGGUUCUUUACGUAACGAGACUAACUUGAACGCAUCGUAAGGAGGAUCCAAGAUUCCAGGGAGAAUGCAAAUCUAAAACCUUACGACGAAACGGUCGCACGUUUCCAUAAAGAAUAAAGCGAUCUGCAACCUUUGUGCAAUUGCGAGCAUUAAGUAUUUCGUAUGCACGACGCAGCGCGUAUCUCGUUUGGAUUUACGAGACAAGAAUUUACGAGACAAUAGAAACGAGUAACCAGCAUUGUAAUAAUCGUCCUACGGCCGCUACGAUUAAUGCACUCUCGGUAAAACCGGGAUUUUUUUUUUUUUCAACACUAUUUCAUACGAGCCUUUUCCUUGAGUCUGUAAUAAAAUACUCGUCCACGCGAUACUCUGUUUGUAAUCUAGAUCAAAAUUUUUAUUUGAAUUUUUAUUUGAAUUUGAAUUUGAUGCAGUCUUACGGAAGGAUGCAGUUGCGUGUUGUGCGCACGCGCACGCGCACGCGCACGGUAACCUUGCUCCGGUGCGGGUAGGCGAAUGGCGAUUCUUGUCAAAACGACCGUGAUCCUUAAAUGGAAUUUGCCACAAAAGUGCAUAAACAAUUUACUUAGAAUCGCUAAGAAGUUGACUUCCGAUCGAGUCUAAGGAUUACAAAGCAUACGGAUGAAUAUCAACGCCGAGGUGAGAAAGCUGACUACGCAGUCGGGGAGGCAAAGGCGAUUAUUUUUCUCCUGCGUCGUGAAGAAAAAAUGCAGGUCCGUAGAACCGAAGAGGAGAGAGGAACGGAGCAGAGAGAAACUUUAGAAACUAUCAAGAAGAGAGGAAAGAAAAAAGAGGACAUUAAAACGUAACGGCGAGAUCUCUGAGUUUGCUUUAUUAGUUUCACGGUGCAAUUUAAGUAAGUAUAAACACGCUUUGGACUAUCUAGAAACUUAAUGGCUGCCUCGUUGGCCAUACCGACAGUGGCUGCCAGUAAAUACCGGGUCACUUUGGCAGAGGAACUUGGUGUGCAAAUGUGAUUCAUCGUCUCACCUGGGACUAGAGCCAUUAGACUGUAAGUAAUUACAGAUAUAUUUAUAGAAACGAAAGAAGGUUGGCAAUCGAAGAAAAAGGUAUAAGGAGCCAAUGGCCAUAUUGGCUGAAUCCCAUGAUCGUCGGAUGCUGGAUGUGCCGGGUGCAUCGUUGCAGAAAGCAAAGAGUGCAGGAAGGAUGAUCUGAUUGUCAGGCGCAACUGCAACACAUCCACAGCGUUACAGGACUCCGGUUGCUCUUUCUCUCUCACGUCCUUCCUUUCUCUUCCUACACUUGGACAUAAAAUCAUUUUAAUCGGACAAGACCGGUGGCUGCAUCUUUGGUGACUACCUCCUUAAACCGACUAUUUUUAGACGCAUUGUUGUUCCGCCGAUCUGGCUAUCACGUCGCACUCAAUUCUGCAGGGAACGUGGACUCCUGGGAGCAGCAUGAAUUAUUUACGAUCACGACCAUGAUCACGACCAUGAUCACGACGACACGUCUAUGUCGGCUCUUUCGUGUCGAGGGACCACCAGAAGGAAUAAGAUUUAAAAAUAUUAUCUACUUCGCCUGGCGUCUUUGCGCGCCUGACUUCAAUCGAAUGGCUAGUAACAUUUUUAUUUGACAAUUCUUUUUCAUCAAACAAUUUAUGGGUCAUCGUAUAAAUUGAUCUUUCGAGACAAUUAGGAUCUUUUUCUUGGGGGGAUUCAAUCGGUAAUGUUAUUUCAGGUAAGAAGUGACAUAUGCAAUGAUCUAUAAUGAAAUGUGUCAUAGUAUUUAUUUUAUAUUGUUAUUAAAAUUAAUAUAUAAUCGACGUUCUAUUUACAGAGGAGAUCUUAGGUGCUACGCGGAUCCUUAUCGAUUGAUAAUAGACAUUAAUAGUAAUGAUUGUAAUAGCACCUGUAAGUUAAUAAAGUCAGACGAGGGAA